GAACCUGUGUGCAAACGUCCUUACAAGCUCGGACCUGAGGAGUUGAAGGAGCUGAAGAAGCAACUCGAUGAGCAAGAAAGAAUGGGUCUCAUCCGACCUAGUACUUCUCCGUGGGGUUGUGGUGUUCUUUUUGUGAAGAAGAAGAAGGAUGGAACGGACCGACUUUGUGUUGAUUACCAUCCAGUGAACAAGAAGACCAUCAAGAACAAAUACCCACUUCCCAACAUCAAUGAGCUGUUCGAACAACUCAAAGGUGCCCAAGUAUUCUCCAAGCUUGAUCUCCGUAUGGGUUAUCACCAGAUUCGCAUUCGUGAAGAAGAUAUUCCCAAGACAGCAUUCAUAACAAGCUUUGGUUCAUAUGAAUACACUGUCAUGUCUUUUGGCCUCGCCAACGCUCCGCCGACGUUCUCUCGCAUGAUGAACUUCAUCUUCAAC
rnacentral:rRNA from 1 species